GCCGGCUUACACAUGCAAGUCGAGCGGUAGCACAGGGGAGCUUGCUCCCUGGGUGACGAGCGGCGGACGGGUGAGUAAUGUCUGGGAAACUGCCUGAUGGAGGGGGAUAACUACUGGAAACGGUAGCUAAUACCGCAUAACGUCGCAAGACCAAAGAGGGGGACCUUCGGGCCUCUUGCCAUCAGAUGUGCCCAGAUGGGAUUAGCUAGUAGGUGGGGUAAUGGCUCACCUAGGCGACGAUCCCUAGCUGGUCUGAGAGGAUGACCAGCCACACUGGAACUGAGACACGGUCCAGACUCCUACGGGAGGCAGCAGUGGGGAAUAUUGCACAAUGGGCGCAAGCCUGAUGCAGCCAUGCCGCGUGUGUGAAGAAGGCCUUCGGGUUGUAAAGCACUUUCAGCGAGGAGGAAGGUGGUGAACUUAAUACGCUCAUCAAUUGACGUUACUCGCAGAAGAAGCACCGGCUAACUCCGUGCCAGCAGCCGCGGUAAUACGGAGGGUGCAAGCGUUAAUCGGAAUUACUGGGCGUAAAGCGCACGCAGGCGGUUUGUUAAGUCAGAUGUGAAAUCCCCGGGCUCAACCUGGGAACUGCAUUUGAAACUGGCAAGCUAGAGUCUCGUAGAGGGGGGUAGAAUUCCAGGUGUAGCGGUGAAAUGCGUAGAGAUCUGGAGGAAUANCGGUGGCGAAGG
rnacentral:rRNA from 1 species